rnacentral:rRNA from 1 species
CCCGCUGAACUUAAGCAUAUCAAUAAGCGGAGGAAAAGAAACCAACAGGGAUUGCCUCAGUAACGGCGAGUGAAGCGGCAAUAGCUCAAAUUUGAAAUCUGGCCUCUGGCCCGAAUUGUAAUUUGUAGAGGAUGCUUCGAGAAUGGUCCAGUCUAAGUUCCUUGGAACAGGACGUCAUAGAGGGUGAGAAUCCCGUAUGCGACUGGGUGCCUAAGCUCAUGUGAAGCUCCUUCGACGAGUCGAGUUGUUUGGGAAUGCAGCUCAAAAUGGGUGGUAAAUUUCAUCUAAAGCUAAAUACUGGCCAGAGACCGAUAGCGCACAAGUAGAGUGAUCGAAAGAUGAAAAGCACUUUGGAAAGAGAGUUAAACAGUACGUGAAAUUGUUGAAAGGGAAGCGCUUGCAACUAGACUUGCAUGCAGUCGAUCAUCCGAUGUUCUCACCGGUGCACUCGAUUGCAUUCAGGCCAGCAUCGGUUUCGGUGGUUAGAUAAAGGCCUUGGGAAUGUAGCUUCUCUCGGGGAGUGUUAUAGCCCAAGGUGCAAUGUAGCCUACCGGGACCGAGGACCGCGCUUCGGCUAGGAUGCUGGCGUAAUGGUUGUAAGCGACCCGUCUUGAAACACGG